rnacentral:rRNA from 1 species
UGGGGAAUAUUGCACAAUGGGCGCAAGCCUGAUGCAGCCAUGCCGCGUGUGUGAAGAAGGCCUUCGGGUUGUAAAGCACUUUCAGCGGGGAGGAAGGCGGUGAGGUUAAUAACCUCAUCGAUUGACGUUACCCGCAGAAGAAGCACCGGCUAACUCCGUGCCAGCAGCCGCGGUAAUACGGAGGGUGCAAGCGUUAAUCGGAAUUACUGGGCGUAAAGCGCACGCAGGCGGUCUGUCAAGUCGGAUGUGAAAUCCCCGGGCUCAACCUGGGAACUGCAUUCGAAACUGGCAGGCUAGAGUCUUGUAGAGGGGGGUAGAAUUCCAGGUGUAGCGGUGAAAUGCGUAGAGAUCUGGAGGAAUACCGGUGGCGAAGGCGGCCCCCUAGACAAAGACUGACGCUCAGGUGCGAAAGCGUGGGGAGCAAACAGG